AUGGCGUCCACCGCCCAGCUUCUCGGCCACCUCGCCGGCUCCACCACCACAGCCAGCCUUAGCGUCACGCCUGUGGGCGGCGGCAGCAGCAAGGUCAGGUUCCUGCCGGCGAAGGCGCAGAGGCGGCGCGUGGUGGCGCGGCCGCGGGCGGCGGUGUCCGGCGCGGAGAAGGAGAAGGCCAAGCCGGCCGGCAAGGAGGACGAGCGCGUGGUGCAGGUGCACAGCGCGGAGGAGUUCGACAGCGCGCUCCAGAAGGCCAAGAACCGGCUGGUGGUGGUGGAGUUCGCGGCGAGCCACAGCGUGAACAGCAAGCGCAUCUACCCGUGCAUGGUGGACCUCAGCCGCACCUGCGGCGACGUCGACUUCCUCCUGGUCAUGGGCGACGAGUCGGAGGCCACGCGGGAGCUCUGCAAGCGGGAGGGCAUCACCCAGGUGCCGCACUUCUCCUUCUACAAGGGCACCGAGAAGGUGCACGAGGAGGAGGGCAUCGGCCCCGACCAGCUCGCCGGCGACGUGCUCUACUACGGCGACAACCACGCCGGCGUCGUGCAGCUGCACAGCCGGACGGACGUGGAGGCGCUCAUGGCAGAGAACAGCGGCGAGGACGGGAAGCUGUUGGUGCUGGACGUCGGGCUCAAGCACUGCGGGCCCUGCGUCAAGGUCUACCCCACCGUCGUCGAGGUGCCUACCUUCCUCUUCAUCAGGCGAGAUCCUCCGGUACCAGGGCGUCAGGGUCACAUACUAAACCAGCAAGCCACCAGCAAUGCUUUAUGUACGUAG
rnacentral:rRNA from 1 species